UAAUUAAAAUAUAGUUUUUUAAAAAAUUUUUUAAAUUUUCUUUAUAUUAUUUAUAUGUUAAUUUUAAGUAAAAUAGAAGAAAUAUUUAUGAUUUUAAUAAUAUU
rnacentral:rRNA from 1 species